rnacentral:rRNA from 1 species
UACGUAGGGUGCGAGCGUUAAUCGGAAUUACUGGGCGUAAAGCGUGCGCAGGCGGCUUUGCAAGACAGAUGUGAAACCCCCGGGCUCAACCUGGGAACUGCAUUUGUGACUGCAAGGCUAGAGUACGGCAGAGGGGGAUGGAAUUCCGCGUGUAGCAGUGAAAUGCGUAGAUAUGCGGAGGAACACCAAUGGCGAAGGCAAUCCCCUGGGCCUGUACUGACGCUCAUGCACGAAAGCGUGGGGAGCAAACAGG